UUUGAAGUAAAGUAAGCAGUAUGAGGGAUAGAAACUCGACCUUCUAAGAACUCUCAUAUAAUAGAAAGUUGUGACUACAUCUUGUUCUAUGCUCAAUGAAUGUGAUACAAGUGAUGUAUGAAUGGACAGGUUAGUGACAUUGUGUUAUGGUUUUAAAACAAACCAUAAACAGAGGGAAUGUAGAAUAUUGCAUAUUCUAUGUUUCUAUUGAUUAUAUAUGGAUGUGUGGAUUGACAUAAGUAACAGAUGGUAUCAAUAAGUCACAAGGCUUUCUUUGUCCGAGAGCUCUGGAAUGUGG